GUUGCUUAGACAAAGGAAACAUAAUCUUCUUAAUUCUUAUCCCCAGGGAAAAGACUAUGCAUACAUAAUCAGAAAAAUCCUGGCUAAUAACUAAACCAGGGGUCGUCGUGCUUCAAGAUAGCUUGAACUCUCCCGAAACCCAUCGGCUGUCUCCAGCAGUUCUCGUUCCUCUUAAUUUGAGAUCUUGACGAAGAAAGCUUGAAGCAUCCAUCCUUCCUGCUGGGCCACAAGGAUUAAGUGAUUGCUACAGUUGGCUCCCCUGGCCACCCCUCCCCUGCAAAGUGCCAGCUGAGGUUGAAGGAGAUUCAUCGCUUGCCACUUCCUCAGCUUACAGCAGACCAAAUUCAGGCCCUUUUCUGCCUAAUGAGGCCCGCAGAGCCACCAGCUGUCGCUGCUUAUCCUCAAAUCCACCAAAGGAGCAGCAGGUAGCACCCAUCUGCCACAAAUUUGGGUUUGCUAAGAGAUGUAGUUACCAGUCCUCACCAUUAGUUGACUAUCUAG
rnacentral:lncRNA from 1 species